rnacentral:rRNA from 1 species
GAUGAACGCAGGCGGCGUGCCUAACACAUGCAAGUCGAGCGAACAGACGAGGAGCUUGCUCCUCUGACGUUAGGGGCGGACGGGUGAGUCACAUGUGGAUAACCUACCUAUAUGACUGGGAUCACUACGGGAAACCGGAGAUAAUAGCGGAUAAUAUAUUGAAGCGCAUGGUUCAAUAGUGAAUGACGGUUUUGCUGUCACUUAUAGAUGGAUCCGCGCCGGAUUAGCUAGUUGGUACGGUAACGGCUUACCAAGGCGACGAUGCGUAGCCGACCUGAGAGGGUGAUCGGCCACACUGGAACUGAGACACGGUCCAGACUCCUACGGGAGGCAGCAGUAGGGAAUCUUCCGCAAUGGGCGAAAGCUUUACGGAGCAACGCCGCGUGAGUGGUGAAGGUCUUCGGAUCGUAAAACUCUGUUAUUUGGGAAGAACAGAUGUGUAAGUAGCUAUGCACGUCUUGACGGUACCUAAUCAAAAAGCCACGGCUAACUACGUG